AGUAGCGGCGAGCGAAGCGGGAAGAGCUCAAAUUUAUAAUCUGGCACCUUCGGUGUCCGAGUUGUAAUCUCUAGAAGUGUUUUCCGCGUUGGACCGCACACAAGUCUGUUGGAAUACAGCGGCAUAGUGGUGAAACCCCCGUAUAUGGUGCGGACGCCCAGCGCUUUGUGAUACACUUUCAAUGAGUCGAGUUGUUUGGGAAUGCAGCUCAAAUUGGGUGGUAAAUUCCAUCUAAAGCUAAAUAUUGGCGAGAGACCGAUAGCGAACAAGUACCGUGAGGGAAAGAUGAAAAGCACUUUGGAAAGAGAGUUAACAGUACGUGAAAUUGUUGGAAGGGAAACGCUUGAAGUCAGACUUGCUUGCCGGAGCUUGCUUCGGUUUGCAGGCCAGCAUCAGUUUUCCGGGGUGGAUAAUGACGGUUUGAAGGUAGCAGUCUCGGCUGUGUUAUAGCUUUCCGUUGGAUACAUCCUGGGGGACUGAGGAACGCAGCGUG
rnacentral:rRNA from 1 species